rnacentral:rRNA from 1 species
CGGGACGGGUGAGUAAUGUCUGGGAAACUGCCUGAUGGAGGGGGAUAACUACUGGAAACGGUAGCUAAUACCGCAUAAUGUCUACGGACCAAAGCGGGGGACCUCCGGGCCUCGCGCCAUCAGAUGAACCCAUAUGGGAUUAGCUAGUAGGUGGGGUAACGGCUCACCUAGGCGACGAUCCCUAGCUGGUCUGAGAGGAUGACCAGCCACACUGGAACUGAGACACGGUCCAG